CUUGGCGGCGUGCUUACACAUGCAAGUCGAACGGUGAAGCUCCAGCUUGCUGGAGUGGAUCAGUGGCGAACGGGUGAGUAACACGUGAGCAACCUGCCCCUGACUCUGGAAUAAGCGCUGGAAACGGCGUCUAAUACUGGAUACGAGAAGGGUCCGCAUGGGCACCUUCUGGAAAGUUUUUCGGUUGGGGAUGGGCUCGCGGCCUAUCAGCUUGUUGGUGAGGUAAUGGCUCACCAAGGCGACGACGGGUAGCCGGCCUGAGAGGGCGACCGGCCACACUGGGACUGAGACACGGCCCAGACUCCUACGGGAGGCAGCAGUGGGGAAUAUUGCACAAUGGGCGAAAGCCUGAUGCAGCGACGCCGCGUGAGGGAUGACGGCCUUCGGGUUGUAAACCUCUUUCAGCAGGGAAGAAGCGAAAGUGACGGUACCUGCAGAAGAAGCACCGGCUAACUACGUGCCAGCAGCCGCGGUAAUACGUAGGGUGCGAGCGUUGUCCGGAAUUAUUGGGCGUAAAGAGCUUGUAGGCGGUUUGUCGCGUCUGCUGUGAAAAUCCGGGGCUCAACCCCGGACUUGCAGUGGGUACGGGCAGACUAGAGUGUGGUAGGGGAGACUGGAAUUCCUGGUGUAGCGGUGAAAUGCGCAGAUAUCAGGAGGAACACCGAUGGCGAAGGCAGGUCUCUGGGCCACUACUGACGCUGAGAAGCGAAAGCAUGGGGAGCGAACAGGAUUAGAUACCCUGGUAGUCCAUGCCGUAAACGUUGGGCGCUAGGUGUGGGACUCAUUCCACGAGUUCCGUGCCGCAGCUAACGCAUUAAGCGCCCCGCCUGGGGAGUACGGCCGCAAGGCUAAAACUCAAAGGAAUUGACGGGGGCCCGCACAAGCGGCGGAGCAUGCGGAUUAAUUCGAUGCAACGCGAAGACCCUUACCAAGGCUUUGACAUAUUACCGGAACUUCCAGAGAUGGUUGCCCCCUUUGGGUCGGUAUUACAGUGGGUGC
rnacentral:rRNA from 1 species